GAUGAACGCUGGCGGCGUGCCUAAUACAUGCAAGUCGAGCGAACGGACGAGAAGCUUGCUUCUCUGAUGUUAGCGGCGGACGGGUGAGUAACACGUGGAUAACCUACCUAUAAGACUGGGAUAACUUCGGGAAACCGGAGCUAAUACCGGAUAAUAUUUUGAACCGCAUGGUUCAAAAGUGAAAGACGGUCUUGCUGUCACUUAUAGAUGGAUCCGCGCUGCAUUAGCUAGUUGGUAAGGUAACGGCUUACCAAGGCAACGAUGCAUAGCCGACCUGAGAGGGUGAACGGACACACUGGAACAGAGAAACGGUCCAGACUCUUACGGGAGGCAGCAGUAGGGAAUCUUCCGCAAUGGGCGAAAGCCUGACGGAGCAAAGCCGCGGGAGUGAUGAAGGUCUUCGGAUCGUAAAACUCUGUUAUUAGGGAAGAACAUAUGUGUAAGUAACUGUGAACAUCUUGACGGUACCUAAUCAGAAAGCCACGGCUAACUACGUG
rnacentral:rRNA from 1 species